rnacentral:lncRNA from 1 species
GGUCUGUUACCUCAGGCAGUGCUAACCACCUCCGUGUGUGUGUGUGUGUGUGUGUGUGUGUGUGUGUGUGUGUGUGUAACACUAAAUUUGUACAAAUAUUUGUCUUCAAAUCCCUGGUGGGUGGGAUUAGUUUUAUUACAAAAAGUUUAAUAUUAAAUGGUUGUAUGUGCACUUGGGCUUUCAAUUCUAGUAUCUUUAGUUAAAAACUAGCAUUAUGUCUUAAGUAUUAUGGUAAAUUAUUUUCUUGGAUGCUGUGUCUGAGCCACUUACUUGAGGAUAGCAUUCUAUGAUCUGCCCAUGUAAAAUACAAUGACUUAGCUCUGUUGUUGACGACUGUGUUACUCUUCUGUCUCUCAGGCCAUGUCUUGGGACCACCUGCACCUCCACCACCACCCCCCCUACCAUCAGGCCCUGCCUAUGCUUCAGCACUUCCCCCUCCUCCUGGACCCCCUCCACCACCUCCACUGCCAUCCGCUGGACCUCCUCCUCCACCGCCUCCACCACCCCCUCUUCCUAAUCAAGUUCCUCCCCCUCCUCCACCACCUCCUGCCCCUCCCCUCCCCGCAUCUGGAAUUUUCUCUGGAUCCAUGUCAGAAGACAAUCGCCCUUUAACUGGACUUGCAGCUGCAAUCGCGGGAGCAAAACUUAGGAAAGUGUCUCGGGUGGAGGAUGGCUCUUUCCCAAGUGGAGGAAAUACUGUGAGUGUGAACUUGGCCUCAUCCAAAACAGAUUC